UCAGGAGAAGAACACAGUCGAGGAAUAACCUCCAGUAAUUGAAAAAGAGUAUUUUUUUGUGAAACAGACCACUGAUAAAGAUGAGCGCCUGGGGUGGAGGAGGUGGAGGUGGAGGAGGAGGCGGCGGAGGUGGUGGAGGUGGCGGAGGUGGCGGAGGACGUCGGUGGUGCUGGUGGGGGUGGUGCUGAUUCAUCUUUAACUUCAGAUUCAAUUUCAAGUCAUACUUAAUCUGAUUUUGUCUGAAUCUUAUGCGAAGAUUAUUAAGCCAAUAAAGUCUUAAAAUAAAAUAAAAAUCAGUGAGAGCUGAAA